GCAGCCUGAUCCAGCCAUGCCGCGUGUCUGAAGAAGGCCUUCGGGUUGUAAAGGACUUUUGUCAGGGAGGAAAUCCCUAAGGUUAAUACCCUUGGGGGAUGACAGUACCUGAAGAAUAAGCACCGGCUAACUACGUGCCAGCAGCCGCGGUAAUACGUAGGGUGCAAGCGUUAAUCGGAAUUACUGGGCGUAAAGCGUGCGCAGGCGGUUGUGUAAGUCUGAUGUGAAAGCCCCGGGCUCAACCUGGGAACUGCAUUGGAGACUGCACGGCUAGAGUGCGUCAGAGGGGGGUAGAAUUCCGCGUGUAGCAGUGAAAUGCGUAGAGAUGCGGAGGAAUACCGAUGGCGAAGGCAGCCCCCUGGGAUGACACUGACGCUCAUGCACGAAAGCGUGGGGAGCAAACAGGAUUAGAUACCCUGGUAGUCCACGCCCUAAACGAUGUCAACUAGCUGUUGGGGGUUUGAAUCCUUGGUAGCGUAGCUAACGCGAGAAGUUGACCGCCUGGGGAGUACGGCCGCAAGGUUAAAACUCAAAGGAAUUGACGGGGACCCGCACAAGCGGUGGAUGAUGUGGAUUAAUUCGAUGCAACGCGAAAAACCUUACCUGGUCUUGACAUGUACGGAACUUGCCAGA
rnacentral:rRNA from 1 species